rnacentral:lncRNA from 1 species
AUGCCAGCGUCUGAAGCCUGGUGGCCCCUGAGCGGUUCACUCAAUUACUAUACAGUCUUGCAAUUGGAAUUAUUUUGUGAAAGACCAGGGAAAACACAAAAACCUGUCUAUUCUUGUCUGAAAGGGGGACCUUGCCAGGGAGAAGAGAAAGGAUUUACCCGGUUCCUAAAAUCACCAAAAGACCCAUCCCAGAAUUCAGCCUGGUGGGUGGAUGCCCCAGCCAAAAGGCAUCCUUGUAAUGGAAAGAUAAAGAAAAUGGAAAUGAUGAAAGAUUCCACAAUGAAACUUGAGCUCCAGAGGAUAUGAGAGAGCCAUGGUAGGAAGAAUUUUUUGGUCAACCUCAAUGUAGAUAAACUGAAAUUAGAAGCGUGUUGCAUUCACCUGAGGUAAGUGAUUGAUACAGGUCAUUAACCCAAGAGAAGGCUCUCUGUGUCAAUAAACAAAGGACAUCUAUGCCA